rnacentral:rRNA from 1 species
UACGUAGGGUGCGAGCGUUGUCCGGAAUUAUUGGGCGUAAAGAGCUCGUAGGCGGCUUGUUGCGUCGACCGUGAAAACCCGGGGCUCAACUCCGGAUCCGGUUCCCAAACUGCUAGACUCGAGCGUAUCAGAGGACAGUGGAAUUCCCGGUGUAGCGGUAAUAUGCGUAGAUAUCGGGAGGAACACCAGUGGCGAAGGCGACUGUCUGGGGUAUUGCUGACGCUGAGACACGAAAGCCAGGGGAGCGAACGGG